rnacentral:lncRNA from 10 species
CUGAACCCCCGGACCCCCAUGCUCUCAUUAUCCCACUACUGUUAUUUCAUAAUUUUGCUUAGGUUAAUAUUCAGUGUGUAUAUUUUCCUGUCCCUAUAAAUACUCUUCACAGCUGAAAUGUGCUUACUUUUAUUUUCUUGCACAAUCUUUAGGUUUUCCUGGAGUUAAUAGUUAUAUUGUUUUUUCUUCCUUUGUUUUGUUUUCUAUCACUAAUUCACUCCAAACUUUCUCCUCGGUUGUUUAAAUUUCCUCUCAAUACACUCACUCACAUCCGGUAUUCUAACAAAGCCAUCUUUCGAUCAUCUUUCCUGUACCCUACAGAGCUGCUCCAGCCUGGACUAGUUUAUUUCUAGGCUGAGUACAUGGCUAUACUUGGAUCUCCCUUUGCCUUUAUCUCUGGGAUUUCCUUUGCUCUUUCUUGGAUUGACGUUCUCAUUUCCCAGACUCCAUGUCUUCCUCUUUCUUGCUUUGCCUCAUAAUUUUGGACUUACCUAGUAGCUUCUUCUUCUUUUUUUUUUUUUUCCUUUUUCACAUCAGAUGGGAAAUGUGCCAACGUCACAACAAGGUUUGAGGGAGGCACAUCUCAUGCUCGGACAUGAACACCCGAUCAUCAUGCUUAUGAACUACAAAAGGAUCUCCAGUAUGGGCUCACGGCAGUUGGCCCUUGAAUAACAUGAAUUUGAACUGCCUGAGUCUGCUAAUAUGUGGAUUAUCUUCUGCUUCUGCACCCUGAGACAGCAAGACCAACCCUUCCUCUUGCUUCUUUUCCUUAGCCUAUUCAACGUGAAGAUGACUAAGUUCACAGAGUUUGAGAGAAACUGUAUUCAAGUUGCUGAAACCAAGAAGCUACACUCACGAGUCUCACCUAAACUCGAAUCUGAUUUAGAUGACAUCAUCCUGGACUUUGAGUUGAUGAAACCUUGGAGGUCUUGGGAGUAAAGCAAGUGUGAUUUGCAUAUGAUGGAUAUGAAUUGUAAUGGCCAGAGCAUGGCUGUGAGAUGAAAACUCCCAUUUUAGGGAACCAAGACUGAAUUCCAUAAUUUACAUGGAUGUUUGGAAGGUGUCUGCAACUUAAUCUGUGUUCGUUUCUGAGAUGUUGGGCAACUCCUUCUUGGAAGAUGUGGUAAUGGUCUCUUCGAAAAGAAAAUAAUCAUCUGAGUUUUGGCCAAAAUAGUUGAUCGGAUUACCUAUGAAAAUGACUCUCACCCAACUACAAGAAUGUUAUGAUGUAGAAACUCUAAAUAUAUGAGUAAUUAACUAUACAACACUCCAUCCCCAUGUGAAAAUCUUUAAUCUUUUAAGAUACUGAAAUUUUGUGUAUGUCUCAUAAUUUUCUGUAUAUGGUCAAUGAGUUUUGCCUUAGCCAUAAGUGGUCUGUCUGAAAUCUUCUCUAUUAUUUGUGCAUUUUCUUCCUGAUGUACCAAGCCUAGUCUGUUUGUUUUUUCCUAAGAGAAAAGCAGAUGAUUCAACUGUGUAUUUCUCAGUGUUGAUAUUGUGGUUUGAGGUAUUUCAUAAUCUUGAGUAAAAUCUUGUCAAUUUUAUGCUAUGCCUUGUGGGAACAUAUUUUUACUUUUAAGUCUCUUUGGCAAGUGGAGCUUCCUUUGUGUUUCCUCACCAAAUGUAUUCCCCAUUGUUUUCUGAUUAAUUCUUUUUCAGAAUGUUUACUCCUUCUUACCUCAAUGUCAUUACUUUUCAGUCUUGGCUUUGGGUAAACCUAGGACAAGAAUUGGAUAUCCAAAGCCAAUUUCAAUAUAAAAACUAUAAUAUCUAUCAAAAUCUAUGUAAAAUCCUGUGUAUAUUUCUCUUCUUUGUUGAACAGGGGCUUAUAAUCAUGUAGGUAAAUACACGUGGUUUUGAUUUCAGCACUGAUUACUGAAGAUUUGUCUUCCAUUCUUCUGGGCCAGGCCCAUACACAACCAUAGUUAGAAGUAAAAACUAUUUGUUAUACCUGGAAUGCCUUUCCUUUCAAUCUCUGAAUGUCUAAAAUUACUUUUUCUUUGAAGACCACCUCAGGUGACCCUACUGUGGGGAAAAUGCCUGAAUUAUCUUUGUAAUCCCAGCUCAGCCACUUAAAGAUUGUGUAAGUUUAGUGUCAGCAUAUUACUUAAGUUCUUUUAGAUUUAGUUUCCUCAUAUGUAAGCUGGGGAUAAUAAUACCUACCUCAUAGAAAAUGAAUGAGAAUCAAGUUAUAUAAUAUAUGAACAACACUUGACACUGUGUGUGAACACUCAAUACAUGUAAAUCAUUAUUAUUAGCAAAAUGAUUAUUAGGUUCUCAUGCUAAUCCACAAUUUUUAUUGGCAGAUAUCCAUUAGUUUAUAGUUAAUGUUAUUCAUAAUCUUUUCUUCAUAUUCAAAUAGGAAGAGAUGACUUCUCAAUCUAGUUAAUCCUGGAUGUGUAUUUCUCUUAAUUUAUUGAGUGUAAAAUGCUUAUUUAUAUACAUACAAUUUCCCUUAUUAGUGAACAUCUAGAAGGCAGAAUGGUACUUCAUUUCUUUCUGUAUGUUUAGCACCAAGGACAGUACCUGGCACAUAGAAGAUACAUAUUAAAAACAAAUAAAACAACUCUUAAUGGAUCUCAUUUUAAAAAAAUUCUCGGUUAAUUAUAAAGGCUCUAGUAAACCAAAUAAUUGUAUGUUAACUUAUUUACUUUUAUUACUGUGUUUAUUUUCUCCAACUGCUUCAUCAUACAAAGUAAACACCUGAAUGUAAGCUGCAUGAGGGCAAGAGCUGUGUCUUGUUUACUGCUCUCAAGAACAUUUGAGCAAAGUGCCUGGCACAUGGCAGACACUCAAUAAGUUACAAUUAAUACUCAAUGUAUGAACUGAUCUAUACUUAGAAUUGACUAAGAAGAAUAAGUCUUACACAGACUCAGUCUCUGAGAACUUGAAAAUCUAAGUUUGCAUAUCUCUGCUGUUGUGUUUUCAGGUUACUCAGUAGAAAACCAAGUUAUUUACACAUCCUCAAGUGUCUCAAGGUUAAAUCUUCCAUGCAUAAAAUAUCUGGGCGAUUGAUUGUGUUUCUUACUUUGCUCCUAAGUAUGUUAGCAUCAUAUAGGCAUAGCCUAAGCCAGACCAAAAUGAAUUCAUUGAUUGACUCAACAAAUGUUUAUGGAUCUCAGAUAUUAUAUGGAGAUGGUGUCAAACAACGGGAUGUGCUAUGGAAUUUGAUGUGGAGGCUGAAGGAAAGAGGAAUCUAGGCGGACUCACAGAUUUUUUGGCUUGAGUAACUUGGACAUUAUGGUGAGUUAUUGAACGGAAGUCUAGGGAUUGUUCAACCCCUGAAAACAGACCACAUCCCAUUGCAGGAGGAAAUUUGG